rnacentral:rRNA from 1 species
AGCGAACGCUGGCGGCAUGCCUAACACAUGCAAGUCGCACGGGGGGGCUUCGGCCUCCCAGUGGCGGACGGGUGAGGAACGCGUAGGGACCUGUCGAGGGGUGGGGGAUAACCGCGGGAAACUGCGGCUAAUACCGCAUGACGCCGUGGCGUGACAGCCGGGGCCAAAGGCGAAAGCCGCCCGCCGAGGGGCCUGCGUCCGAUUAGCUGGUUGGCGGGGUAGCGGCCCACCAAGGCGUCGAUCGGUAGCUGGUCUGAGAGGGUGAUCAGCCACACCGGGACUGAGACACGGCCCGGACUCCUACGGGAGGCAGCAGUGGGGAAUAUUGGACAAUGGGCGCAAGCCUGAUCCAGCAAUGCCGCGUGGGUGAAGAAGGUCUUCGGAUUGUAAAGCCCUUUCGGCGGGGACGAUGGUGACGGUACCCGCAGAAGAAGCCCCGGCUAACUUCGUG